AUCUUCUUAAUCUUUUUUUCACAUUGUAUUUUAAUUUAAGGCCAUCCACGCGGUUACGGACUAUCGAGUAGCCUGAAUCUGUUUUUAUGCCUUCAGGCGUCUCAUACGAUUUUAGCAGCAGACCAAGCUCUGUAAACAGACACAUCACAGCUAAUGUAAUGACAGAGGAGUAUCUCUUUCAUGACCAUCGAUAGCAUCACUAUACCAUCACCGGUUUAAUGUUAUCUGCAGACUGCUCCUCUUGCCCCACAUUUGCUGUGAAGGCUUUUAUGCAGGCUGACAACGUGGUGAAAAACAGCCUCCUCCUCCAGGCUAGCUGAACAUCUGUCUCUGUAGCACUGUGGCUGUUCCACUGAUGCCCACAGAUGGGAGACCCAGUAGUAGCCCAGAGUAUUUUCAUUUCAAGAAGACCUGAGAAUGAUGCCAAUAAUCCCAGACCAGACCCUAUUAGUGACCUCAGCAUGAACUUUGAUCCUUCACCAUGCCACGCACUGUCACAGUACAAUGAUUCUUGUCUUGUAUAAUAUUGAUAUACUUAAUUCUUUCAAUAUUUUAUUAAUAGCAUUUUUAUUUGCAAACUUAG